GGAUCGUCGAUGGGCAGCCGGAGGACCGAUCACUGUCAGCGGGACAAAUUCAUCAAGUUCUCAUCGGUGAGUAUUGAGGUCGGUCACAAGAGCUGAACGAGACCGACAAUUUCCCAUCGAUCAGCACCAGCAGCAGGUGGUCUCUUCCACCCGGAAGACAGACAAGAAGACGACAAUUAACCAACGUCAGUCAGAGUCAGAAUGGACACAGAUCUGAACUCCGGAAUCUCCGCCUUCCUGUCAAAUUGUGAGGAUCACCAAUUGUUCCUGUUGUCGAGAUUCUACAUGGAGCGACUGGAGCAGGCGAUUGAGGAGGGUGUGGAGGGAGUCGGCUUCAUGUUAAUGGGCGAGGAUCACUUCUCCGGGCCAGAGUAUCACAGCGUGACUGUGCUCGCGGAGAAGGGAAACCGAUCGGGCGCUUCCAAACUCCUCCUGGAUCUGGUGAUGGAGAAGGGCUCCGGGGCUCGGAGGGUGAUGUGGGAAUCCUUC